AGGUCCUGCCUGCCCAGUGACUAUGUUAAACGGCCGCGGUAUUUUGACCGUGCAAAGGUAGCGCAAUCACUUGUCUUUUAAAUGAAGACCUGUAUGAAUGGUGAAACGAGGGCUUAACUGUCUCCCUUUUCAAGUCAAUGAAAUUGAUCUCCCCGUGCAGAAGCGGGGGUGUAAAUACAAGACGAGAAGACCCUUUGGAGCUUAAGAUUAAAAAUCAACUAUGUCAAAUAUUUAUUAAAUAGAACUGAAUAGUAACUGAUCGUAAUCUUCGGUUGGGGCGACCACGGAAUAAAAAUAAACUUCCACAUGGAAUGAGGACUAACCUUAAAACCAAGAAAAACAUUUCUAAGUCACAGAAUUUCUGACCACACAGAUCCGGCAAAUUGCCGAUCAAUGGACCAAGUUACCCUAGGGAUAACAGCGCAAUCCCCUUUUAGAGUCCCUAUCGACAAGGGGGUUUACGACCUCGAUGUUGGAUCAGGAC
rnacentral:rRNA from 1 species